rnacentral:ribozyme from 1 species
GAGAGCCAAAUGAAUCGAAAGGUUCAUGUUUGGUUCAGGAAGGGAUCAUGGAAUUUUUGAAAUAAAAAAAAAA